UGCUCUCUCUCUCUCUCUCUCUCGCUCUGAGCGCGCCGCCCACGCACACGCGAAAUGGCUUUGGGGCCGCCCACAUACUCACGCUCCAACACUUCUACCCUACUGCGCAGUCUCUCAGCUGCUCGACCGGGCGUGCUCCGGGGGCA
rnacentral:SRP_RNA from 1 species